ACUCCUACGGGAGGCAGCAGUGGGGAAUAUUGCACAAUGGGCGCAAGCCUGAUGCAGCCAUGCCGCGUGUAUGAAGAAGGCCUUCGGGUUGUAAAGUACUUUCAGCAGUGAGGAAGGCAGGUACGUUAAUAGCGUGCUUGUUUGACGUUAGCUGCAGAAGAAGCACCGGCUAACUCCGUGCCAGCAGCCGCGGUAAUACGGAGGGUGCGAGCGUUAAUCGGAAUUACUGGGCGUAAAGCGCAUGCAGGUGGUUUGUUAAGUCAGAUGUGAAAGCCGGGGCUCAACCUCGGAACUGCAUUUGAAACUGGCAGACUAGAGUACUGUAGAGGGGGGUAGAAUUUCAGGUGUAGCGGUGAAAUGCGUAGAGAUCUGAAGGAAUACCGGUGGCGAAGGCGGCCCCCUGGACAGAUACUGACACUCAGAUGCGAAAGCGUGGGGAGCAAACAGGAUUAGAUACCCUGUAGCACAGGC
rnacentral:rRNA from 1 species